rnacentral:RNase_P_RNA from 1 species
GAAGCUCGCUAGGCCGUCGCUGGUGCAAUCUGGGAAACCAGGCACUGGAGGAACGUCCGGACUGCGUAGGACAGCGUAAGAGGUAACACCUCUCCACCGUGAGGUGAGGAUUAGAGCAACAGAGACGAGCCGAUUUAGUUCGGGUGAAACGGGCAAUCUCUACGCGCAGCAAUACCAAGUAGGCCAACGUUGAGGCGGUCCGCUGAGUUGGCGGGUAGGUAGCACCGAGCCGAGUGGGCAACCCUCGGCCCAGAUUAAUGACGGUCACGCCGUGGGCAACCACGGUGCACAGAAUCCGGCGUAUCGGCGAGCUUCACAC